UGCAAUUAAACAUUUAAAAGAUCGAGCUAAUUGACAAUCGGAUGCCAAAAAACAUUCCCUCAUGUAGCCUACAAAGAAAACAUUGUGUUUAUGGUAAAAUCGAAGGAAAACUGCCCAAAUCAGGGAGCUCUUCAUAUUUUUCCCUCACUGUUGGCCCCGUUUUGCUUUCGAUUAAGGUGGCCUGUGGGAUCAGGUUAUUUGCUCACUGAUGGAGGACGAUAAAGCAGGUCCAGCAGUACAAAGAGUCACGGAUGCGACAAAUGGGGGCUGGCGUCACCUUCACCUCCCCCUCCACAUGGCCUUGAGAUC